AUUACAUUAAUGCAUGUAAGGUGAACUAGCAAACACCGUUGUAGUUACAUGCGGCUGUCUUCUUGUUUGAUGGCAGAUACUCCCUUCACCCUGGCCAAAAAGGCUAAAAUGACCAAAGAAAAAGUGGAAAACAGUUAAACAUGAGAGGUUUUUGGACAAAGUUUGUGUUUUUUCCAUUGUUUAAGCACUGCUUCCAGCCAAGAGUGAUACCAUAUAUGCCCUAUAGCUGCAGAAAAGGCUAACAUUGUUAUCUUUUUACAAAAAAAACAGCUAAACAUGAGAGGUUUUUGGACCAAUUUUGUGUUCUCGAUUCUUUAAGCACCGGUUUGAGCACCGUUUAAGCACCGGCACCGUUUCAAAAGUACCGGUUUGGCACCGGUAUCGGAUAAAACCUAAACGAUAC
ensembl:lncRNA